rnacentral:rRNA from 1 species
UCUGCAACCCGACUCCAUGAAGCUGGAUUCGCUAGUAAUCGCGCAUCAGCCACGGCGCGGUGAAUACGUUCCCGGGCCUUGUACACACCGCCCGUCACACCAUGGGAGUCGGUAACACCCAAAGUUGGUAGCCUAACCGCAAGGAGGGCGCCGCCUAAGGUGGGAUUGAUGACUGGGGUGAAGUCGUAACAAGGUAAC